GGUUAAGCGACUAAGCGUACACGGUGGAUGCCCUGGCAGUCAGAGGCGAUGAAGGACGUGCUAAUCUGCGAUAAGCGCCGGUAAGGUGAUAUGAACCGUUAUAACCGGCGAUUUCCGAAUGGGGAAACCCAGUGUGACUCGUCACACUAUCAUUAACUGAAUCCAUAGGUUAAUGAGGCGAACCGGGGGAACUGAAACAUCUAAGUACCCCGAGGAAAAGAAAUCAACCGAGAUUCCCCCAGUAGCGGCGAGCGAACGGGGAGGAGCCCAGAGCCUGAAUCAGCAUGUGUGUUAGUGGAAGCGUCUGGAAAGGCGCGCGAUACAGGGUGACAGCCCCGUACACAAAAGCGCAUGUGCUGUGAGCUCGAUGAGUAGGGCGGGACACGUGGUAUCCUGUCUGAAUAUGGGGGGACCAUCCUCCAAGGCUAAAUACUCCUGACUGACCGAUAGUGAACCAGUACCGUGAGGGAAAGGCGAAAAGAACCCCGGCGAGGGGAGUGAAAAAGAACCUGAAACCGUGUACGUACAAGCAGUGGGAGCACAGGUUUACCUGUGUGACUGCGUACCUUUUGUAUAAUGGGUCAGCGACUUAUAUUCUGUAGCAAGGUUAACCGAAUAGGGGAGCCGGAGGGAAACCGAGUCUUAAUUGGGCGUUAAGUUGCAGGGUAUAGACCCGAAACCCGGUGAUCUAGCCAUGGGCAGGUUGAAGGUUGGGUAACACUAACUGGAGGACCGAACCGACUAAUGUUGAAAAAUUAGCGGAUGACCUGUGGCUGGGGGUGAAAGGCCAAUCAAACCGGGAGAUAGCUGGUUCUCCCCGAAAGCUAUUUAGGUAGCGCCUCGUGAAUUCAUCUCCGGGGGUAGAGCACUGUUUCGGCUAGGGGGCCAUCCCGGCUUACCAACCCGAUGCAAACUGCGAAUACCGGAGAAUGUUAUCACGGGAGACACACGGCGGGUGCUAACGUCCGUCGUGAAGAGGGAAACAACCCAGACCGCCAGCUAAGGUCCCAAAGUCAUGGUUAAGUGGGAAACGAUGUGGGAAGGCCCAGACAGCCAGGAUGUUGGCUUAGAAGCAGCCAUCAUUUAAAGAAAGCGUAAUAGCUCACUGGUCGAGUCGGCCUGCGCGGAAGAUGUAACGGGGCUAAACCAUGCACCGAAGCUGCGGCAGCGACACUGUGUGUUGUUGGGUAGGGGAGCGUUCUGUAAGCCUGUGAAGGUGUGUCGUGAGGCAUGCUGGAGGUAUCAGAAGUGCGAAUGCUGACAUAAGUAACGAUAAAGCGGGUGAAAAGCCCGCUCGCCGGAAGACCAAGGGUUCCUGUCCAACGUUAAUCGGGGCAGGGUGAGUCGACCCCUAAGGCGAGGCCGAAAGGCGUAGUCGAUGGGAAACGGGUUAAUAUUCCCGUACUUGGUGUUACUGCGAAGGGGGGACGGAGAAGGCUAUGUUGGCCGGGCGACGGUUGUCCCGGUUUAAGCGUGUAGGUGUGUGUUCCAGGUAAAUCCGGUUCACUUUAACACUGAGGCGUGAUGACGAGGCACUACGGUGCUGAAGCAACAAAUGCCCUGCUUCCAGGAAAAGCCUCUAAGCAUCAGGUAACAUCAAAUCGUACCCCAAACCGACACAGGUGGUCAGGUAGAGAAUACCAAGGCGCUUGAGAGAACUCGGGUGAAGGAACUAGGCAAAAUGGUGCCGUAACUUCGGGAGAAGGCACGCUGACACGUAGGUGAAGUGAUUUACUCAUGGAGCUGAAGUCAGUCGAAGAUACCAGCUGGCUGCAACUGUUUAUUAAAAACACAGCACUGUGCAAACACGAAAGUGGACGUAUACGGUGUGACGCCUGCCCGGUGCCGGAAGGUUAAUUGAUGGGGUCAGCGCAAGCGAAGCUCCUGAUCGAAGCCCCGGUAAACGGCGGCCGUAACUAUAACGGUCCUAAGGUAGCGAAAUUCCUUGUCGGGUAAGUUCCGACCUGCACGAAUGGCGUAAUGAUGGCCAGGCUGUCUCCACCCGAGACUCAGUGAAAUUGAACUCGCUGUGAAGAUGCAGUGUACCCGCGGCAAGACGGAAAGACCCCGUGAACCUUUACUAUAGCUUGACACUGAACAUUGAGCCUUGAUGUGUAGGAUAGGUGGGAGGCUUUGAAGUGUGGACGCCAGUCUGCAUGGAGCCGACCUUGAAAUACCACCCUUUAAUGUUUGAUGUUCUAACGUGGACCCGUGAUCCGGGUUGCGGACAGUGUCUGGUGGGUAGUUUGACUGGGGCGGUCUCCUCCUAAAGAGUAACGGAGGAGCACGAAGGUUGGCUAAUCCUGGUCGGACAUCAGGAGGUUAGUGCAAUGGCAUAAGCCAGCUUGACUGCGAGCGUGACGGCGCGAGCAGGUGCGAAAGCAGGUCAUAGUGAUCCGGUGGUUCUGAAUGGAAGGGCCAUCGCUCAACGGAUAAAAGGUACUCCGGGGAUAACAGGCUGAUACCGCCCAAGAGUUCAUAUCGACGGCGGUGUUUGGCACCUCGAUGUCGGCUCAUCACAUCCUGGGGCUGAAGUAGGUCCCAAGGGUAUGGCUGUUCGCCAUUUAAAGUGGUACGCGAGCUGGGUUUAGAACGUCGUGAGACAGUUCGGUCCCUAUCUGCCGUGGGCGCUGGAGAACUGAGGGGGGCUGCUCCUAGUACGAGAGGACCGGAGUGGACGCAUCACUGGUGUUCGGGUUGUCAUGCCAAUGGCACUGCCCGGUAGCUAAAUGCGGAAGAGAUAAGUGCUGAAAGCAUCUAAGCACGAAACUUGCCCCGAGAUGAGUUCUCCCUGAGACUUAGAGUCUCCUGAAGGAACGUUGAAGACGACGACGUUGAUAGGCCGGGUGUGUAAGCGCAGCGAUGCGUUGAGCUAACCGGUACUAAUGAACCGUGAGGCUUAACCUU
rnacentral:rRNA from 1 species